ACAAAAUAUUUAUAUUCCUUGUGUAAACAUAAUUUAAUUGAUUAGGAUGAAAAUGUUUUGUUUGAAUGUAAAAUGAACACAUUAUUCUCACAUUGAUUAAAAUUGAUUGAAUUGAAUACUUAAAGCAAUAAAAUUGAGUUUGCACACAAAAUGGCACCUCCUGAGCAGAAGGUGGCAGUAACGCUCAAUAAAAAGGACGUCAAUCGCCAUAAAAGAAGAAUAAACAUCGUUUGUUUUGGGCGCCAAAAUGAAGACUCAGCAGCAGUCAGUCAGAAGAACUCUCUCAGACGGACACCACGUUAUUAAAGUAAGUUCUAUUAUUUAUUUAUGUUCACUUUUUACGUGAUACAUCUUCACUAGAUAGACAGUUUUUUACAAUAUGUAGCCAUUGCAAUGACUUGUAGUAAAAAUGAGUUUGGAGGAUGUUGGUGGAGUAAGUUAACGUUACAGUCAGUCAGUCAGUAAGUGUAAGGCUCAUAAAGAAAAACAGCGUUUUAAAAAUGUCAGCUGUAUAACGUUAUUUCACGUUUGGUAGUUUUAUCCGAGUUGAAAACUGACAGAUUUGAGUUGACUUUUGAGGCACUUUUUACUCAGUUGUUCUAUGGAAACGGUUCAGGACAAAUAAAACGCUAACCAAACGUUAUUCUGUCCAGAGUAACGUUAUCCAUGUAAGUAAUUUACCAGAUGAUAUCAAUUGACUACAUUAAUAAUGACAUUGCGUAUGAAACAAACUGUCUGCUUAAUCAGAUGAACAGACCCGCGUCAGUUAUUCGUGACUUCACUACGCCACGAGCCACACUUGAUUCUAUUAGAAAAAGCUUUUUUUAAAUGCCUCGCGUGACGUCUGAUAUAUUAACUGAAAAAAUUGCUUUGAAGUGACCACACCUUAAAGCUGACGUUUUCAGAAGAGAACCUUGUUUUAAGAUCUCAUUUUGUCCAAAAUUGCGUCCUAUGACAGAUAUAAUACUUAUUUCAUUAUUGCUCUGUGUAUGUGUGACCUUAAUCAUUUGAGGUUGUGUGUUGAUUUCACCUCUGAAUAUUUCCUCUUAUAGGUCCAUCAUCCUUGCAUGCGCUACACACUCAAAAGCAUUGAUAAAUGCUGAAUUUAAAAGAAUCACUACUGUCUUAUGUUCCUGCGUGUCACCUGGACCUCCAAUCCAAAAACCUGACGAAACUCUUCUAUCAGAAAGGAGGACAGCUAGCAAACAGACUUCAAACAAUGAAUGAUCAAAUGACAGAAGGCAUGGAUGAAGUCAGCAUCAGUGUGGUCAUUUGAAGACACCACUUUUGGGAUUUGUGCUCUCAAACAACAUGCUUCUUGUGAUGAAGAAGAGGAUCUUUGUAUAGUCCUGGAAGGCAUGAAGGUGUUGCAACAUCGUGCCAUGUUGUUUGAGCUGAUGUAUGCCUUAAACCUGAGCUAUCCUGAUCUCUGCUUUAUUUUUGAAGAAAUCCAAAAGAUUUUAAUGGAACUGCAUUGAGCGUAACUUUAACGAACCGUUUCUUUCAGUGAAAGGAUCAGAAAGACUGUGCUGCUCAUUUAUGUUCUUUUUAUUUAUCUGUUUUAAGUGUUUUUUCUUAUUAAAACAUUAACCGUUUGCUGCUCAGAGUUGAUUUUGGAAAUGGUUGUUGUAUUUUGUUUUUGUUGAAUCUUUGAUUAUCAGUUUAUACAAAUGCUGUAGCUCUGACUUUCUGAAGGAUUGAUAUUUUCCAGUUUGUAAAUCCAUUUAAAAAAUAAUAGUACUUACUGUUUUGCAUGUCUCUUUGGAAUGCAGUGUUUGUGCUUUAGCACUUCUAAAUCUACCGUGAUAGUAACUAUUUUAAACAUUUGGGUCAGUUUUACAGAUGGGGCUUUUUCUAGUCCCAGACUUUUGCAAUGCCUUAAUUUGAAAACAUAUUGCACUGACAUAUCUUGACAUAUAUCAGUGCCAUUUUUUUGUCUCAAGAUGUAUUCCAGUGUUGUUUUUGUAAGGUAGGUUUGUUUGUAAACUUUUUUUGUAAAAAAUAUCCUAAUAUAACUAGGGCCUAGUCAUGGAUUAUCUACAACCUGUUUGGGAAAUUGCCCCUUUGUAUGUACUGCAUGUGCUGAUUGUUGUAAUAGUUAUUGACUGUUGUUGAAUUAAUGUGUAGUGAUUUAAAUUAAUUGAUGACCUGAAAGCAGUGGUUUGCCUCAAUAUCACUAAACUUUUGUUUAAAACUCUUUGCUUUUUAUGCCAAUGCAAAUGUAUUUUGUAUUUAAAAAAGAAAUAAAUAACAUUUGGAUAAUUAUGGAUGAUUAUUCUGGUUCCAGAAACAUAAUGAAAUUGCUUUAG